rnacentral:rRNA from 1 species
CUACUUGGGUGCGCAGCUACCAUGCAGUCGAGCGGUAGAGAGAAGCUUGCUUCUCUUGAGAGCGGCGGACGGGUGAGUAAUGCCUAGGAAUCUGCCUGGUAGUGGGGGAUAACGUUCGGAAACGGACGCUAAUACCGCAUACGUCCUACGGGAGAAAGCAGGGGACCUUCGGGCCUUGCGCUAUCAGAUGAGCCUAGGUCGGAUUAGCUAGUUGGUGAGGUAAUGGCUCACCAAGGCGACGAUCCGUAACUGGUCUGAGAGGAUGAUCAGUCACACUGGAACUGAGACACGGUCCAGACUCCUACGGGAGGCAGCAGUGGGGAAUAUUGGACAAUGGGCGAAAGCCUGAUCCAGCCAUGCCGCGUGUGUGAAGAAGGUCUUCGGAUUGUAAAGCACUUUAAGUUGGGAGGAAGGGCAGUUACCUAAUACGUGAUUGUUUUGACGUUACCGACAGAAUAAGCACCGGCUAACUCUGUGCCAGCAGCCGCGGUAAUACAGAGGGUGCAAGCGUUAAUCGGAAUUACUGGGCGUAAAGCGCGCGUAGGUGGUUAGUUAAGUUGGAUGUGAAAUCCCCGGGCUCAACCUGGGAACUGCAUUCAAAACUGACUGACUAGAGUAUGGUAGAGGGUGGUGGAAUUUCCUGUGUAGCGGUGAAAUGCGUAGAUAUAGGAAGGAACACCAGUGGCGAAGGCGACCACCUGGACUGAUACUGACACUGAGGUGCGAAAGCGUGGGGAGCAAACAGGAUUAGAUACCCUGGUAGUCCACGCCGUAAACGAUGUCAACUAGCCGUUGGGAGCCUUGAGCUCUUAGUGGCGCAGCUAACGCAUUAAGUUGACCGCCUGGGGAGUACGGCCGCAAGGUUAAAACUCAAAUGAAUUGACGGGGGCCCGCACAAGCGGUGGAGCAUGUGGUUUAAAUUCGAAGCAACGCGAAGAACCUUACCGGCCUUGACAUCCAAUGAACUUUCUAGAGAUAGAUUGGUGCCUUCGGGAACAUUGAGACAGUGCUGCAUGGCUGUCGUCAGCUCGUGUCGUGAGAAUGUUGGGUUAAGUCCCGUAACGGAGCGCACCCUGUCCUAGUACCAGCACGUAUGGUGGGCACUCUAGGAGACUGCGUGACAACCGGAGAGUGGGAUGACGUCAGUCAUCAUGGGCCCUUACGGCUGGACUACACCACGGUGCA